CCUACGGGAGGCAGCAGCAACGAAUCUUCCGCAAUGCGCGAAAGCGUGACGGAGCAAUGCCGCGUGCAGGAUGAAGCCCUUCGGGGUGCAAACUGCUGUCAGGGUUUAGCAACCCAAUGAGCAAACCCAAAGGAAGGGCCGGCUAACUUCGUGCCAGCAGCCGCGGUAAUACGAAGGGCCCGAGCGUUGCGCGAAAUCACUGGGCUUAAAGCGUACGUAGGCGGGCACGCAGGCACCUUGUGAAAUCCCUUGGCUCAACCAAGGAAUUGCUUGGUGAACCGCGUGCCUUGAGGCAAGUAGGGGCUGUCGGAACGAUAGGUGGAGCGGUGAAAUGCGUUGAUAUCUAUCGGAACGUCGAAGGCGAAGGCAGGCAGCUGGGCUUGUUCUGACGCUGAGGUACGAAAGCGUGGGGAGCGAACGGGAUUAGAUACCCCGGUAGUCCACGCCGUAAACGAUGUGCACUAGACCGAGGGGGUUCUGACGCCAUUCUCGGUCGAAGCAAAAGUGUUAAGUGCACCGCCUGGGGAGUACGGUCGCAAGGCUAAAACUCAAAGGAAUUGACGGG
rnacentral:rRNA from 1 species